rnacentral:lncRNA from 1 species
UUUUUGUUUUGUUUUUUUUUAAGAAAAUCAUUAAACUAAAAAUGAUGCCUUCUUUUUCUUUUUCUUUUUGCUUUUUUUUGCUUUUGCUUUUUUUAGGGCUGCAUUUGCAGCAUAAGGAACUCUGAUUCAAUCCCUAGCCUGGGAACCUCCAUGUGCUGCAGGUGCAGCCCUAAAAAGACAAAAAAAAAAAAAAAAAAAAAAAAAAAAAAGGGUAUUUUUGUUUUUUGAAUGUGUAAAGAGAAGAUACCUGUGCUCAGAGACCAUUGAAACAUAAAUUUAACUAAAAUACGAUGAUCAAUGAUUAGAUAUUUAUUGAUUUGAGAGAUAAGAAACAAAGUGUAUGUUUUGGAAUCAGAGGACUUUCAAGGAGGAACAGUGAAGAUUUAUCAAAAAGCCUUUGAAAGAAGCCAGAGUCAAGGAUAACAGAUAUUCUCAGGAAUGAUGUUUCUUUAUAUUUUUGCCCUUAAUUUUUUUAUUUAAAAUGAAAACAUGUACUUUUUUUUUUGCCACACCCGUGGCACAUGGAAGUUCCCAGAUCAGGGAUCAAAUCUGAGCCACACCUGUGACUUAUGCCACAAGUGUCAUCUCCUGUGCCACAGUGGGAACUCCUAUACUCUUAAGUCUGAGUGAAAUAUUACAUUUUAAAUAUUAAGUAGCUGAUGUAUUUCUGGAUUUCACAGCCAUUCUUGGUCUGUUUUAUUAUUUUCUUCUGCCUCAUUUUUACUUUUUUUUAGAUACAUGAAAUAAUCAAAAGGGAGAAUGUCUUGCCAAAAAUCAGCGUUAUGGAUAAAAUGUAUUCAUUACUCUGGACCUUUCCAGAUAUUAAAUUAUUUUGAAAUUUUCAACUCUUAUUUGUGAUGAAUGGCUUUAUUGACUAUGUGAUUAUUCUUUCCCCAAAAUAUUGGGGUAUAAAUUCUUUUAAAAGUUACCUUCUUGGAGUUCCCACUGUAGUGCAGUGGGUUAUGGAUCUGAUGUCUUUUCAGUCGGCUCAGAUUUGAUCCCUUGCCCGGCACAGUGGGUUUAGGAUCCAGUGUUGCCACAGCUGUGGUGUAGGUUGCACCUGCAGCUGGCAAUUGAUCCCUGGCCUGGGAACUUCCAUAUGCUGCUGAUGCCGUGGAAAAAGAAAAAAAACCCAGAAACUUGGAGGGAGAAGGCGUAUUAGUAUGUCUGCAAUCCUGGACAAAACUAUUAGAUUUGAAAUCCACGUUAAGGAGUUCCCACUGUUGUUUAGAGGUUUAAGGACCCAAUGUAGUGUCCGUGAG